AGUAGAUGCCUGUGCUGCUGCAGUCUGUCCUUCCCAUCCUCUCUUCUUUAUUCCUGUUUGCUCAAAAGUCUCCUGCUAAAAAUCCCCCAGCUGUGACACACCAGCCCAUCUCUUAGAUCCCACUGAUUUCAUGUCUCUCUCAGUCUCCAUGUAAAUCUCCCUAUCUUUCCCUUCAAUGUCCUCUGUAAGUUACUUUGCCUUUAAUCUCAUUCUUCCCACUCCUCUUAUUCUCCUAGUCAUCUCUUUCUGCUCAUUUUAUCUUGUUCUUGGAUGGUACAAUCUUGCUUUUUUUCUUCAUACUCCUCAGACCUCAAUCCAUCUCCCAUUUUCUGUUCACCAAACACUUUUCUUCUUGUUCUGUCAACUCUACCUUAAAUCUCUUUUUCUUCUUUGCUGGCACUAGCAUACCACAUGCCCUCAUGCAGAGUCAUCUGAACUGCUGUCCCAUGUGGUUUUCCUGGAGUGCAUGUUCUUCACACGGAAUUUGUGGUUCUCCUACAGUGCACACCCCACAAGGAUACAAACACACAAGGGUCUUUUGAAGAACAGCAGUUGUUGGUAAGUAACCAUGCAUUAUUAAUCCCAUUGCUUACAUGACACACAGAAAACUUUCUCUAGCUAGCUAAUAAGAGGAAUCGUUUCUGUUGAUGUGAGGGCACACUUUGAAUGCUCCAACUAGGUAAAUGCAUAAACAUGAGUGUUAUUUAAACUUAGAGUGACUGAAACUUCCUAUAGGUGGCAAAGACAUAUGAGGGACAGUCUAUUAGAAGAGGUUUGGGGUCUCACUUCUACAUUGUUUUGCACCAGCACAUCAUCAGUGACUGCAUUCAAGUUGCCUUUAACAUCUUUACAUUCCUGCACAUGACAAAUAAUAGGGACUAGUUCCCACAGAGCAGAGGAAAUACAGUAACAAGUGUCUCACAUCCAUUUCUCAAAUGUCUUCAAAUAGCUUUUAUUCAUGGCAUAGCACAAGUGUCAGCCAACUGGCAAAGGCAGCCUAUAUUAAAAAUGCUGGGGAUUAUUCAGGUCAACAGACACAAGGGAGCUUUUCUCAGUCAGUGGAUCUGCACUAGAAGUGGUACAAAAAUGCAACAGAUUCUGUACAGUAAUCUCAAAUCUGAAUAACUUUAGAAGGAGACCAUCAGCAGAUUGCCAUUUCUAAGUUAAAUUUAAAAAUUAAUCUAGCGCAGUUAGACGAGAGCUUGGAUAGGUGAGAGGUUUAACUGUGUGGUUAGAUAGAAAAGGCUAUACCAUAAAGAUGGUAUCUAGAAAGACUGAGGUGAUACUUUUUAAAAAAUGCUUAGAUUGAAGAUGGUCUGGAGGUUGUGAGCUGAUGGUGGCUCUUCAGGUUUGCUUCUGAUUACCCAAUUAUCUGUUAGGUCCUUAGCCUGUUUGAUUGCAGGCAUAUCCUGCACUGUUCCAAGUAUAAUUUCUGUGGGCCAUGUGAUUUUUCUUUUAUGGCUGAGGUGCAAUUUAGAAAUGGAUGAAUUCUUUCUCCUUUUAAAAGCUUAAAAGUUAACAGCCAUGUUUAGCCCAGUUUAACUGAAAAUAAUGUUUAUUAAAUGAUUGAGACUUUUAAUAGGAAAAAAAUAAAAUGGGCACAAGCAGUAAGAUUGCUUAUCUUUAAAAACAUCAUGUAAAGGUGGAAAAGGAUAGACGUUUCAGAUGUGUCAGGUUAACUAUUAAGGACAAUUCCCUGAUUAGUAUUUUGAUUCCCACUAUAUUUGCAGAAGACUACUAUAUUCUGUCAUUUUGUAUUUCGAAAUGGUUGCUUUUAAAACAUAUGGCCUGCUUCUUUUUCUGCUUGAUUAUUUUUGACUAAUUUAGUUGUCUGAACACUGUGAUGUUAUGUGGACAUGAAAUCAGGAACAAUUUAAGUGGAAAAUAAAAAAUUAAGCCCUAUGCAAGCCAUCAUGAGUAAGGUGACCUGAUCUGCUCUGACACAGAUCUAUGUCCCACUUAUGCUUUGGAAAACUUUGGAUACUGUAUUUUGUCAGAACCUAAUUUCUGUGCAAAUGUGUGAUGCAGAAGAAACCCAACCAGCAAAACCCUCAGAUGAAUCCCAUGACAUCUCCUUGACAACAUAUAGAUGCACAGUCUGUUACAUACAUCCUUACUGGCAGACUGACUGCUCCUAGCUUUUUCCCACUCUGAGCUGAAAGGCAGACUGACCAACAGGCUGCAGAGGAUGUUGCUGGGAUUUAAAUGUGGAAGCUGAAGAUCAUGUUUCAUUCAGGGUAAACAGGGGCAAAUGGAGCAGCCUGACAGAAGAGGUGAGCCUUGCACCACAGCUUCCCUUGCUGAGGCUGCUCUGUCAAGAAAAGGAAUGGGCACUGGGAGGUUCAACUGAGUCUGAAAAUUCAUGUGGAGGACCUUUGCAGAGCUCUGAAAGUCUUGCCAAAAGCUUGUCAGUGUGACUUACUAGCAUAAUGAGGUCAGUUGAAAGCUUUGUCCUGGACAGCAGGGUGCAAGGGUGGCAGUGCUGAGGAGCACCAGACUUCACGGAAGGUGGCAUCUAUGCACAAUGGCACCCAGGAGCCUUAGCUCAUCAAAGGAAAGAAAAAGAAGCCUUUGCAGAAUCUGAAGAUAUUGUAAUACAUUCUGCAGUUUCCUGGAUUUUAUGCUGCCUCUUGUAAGUGUUACAAUAUCAUUUCCAGUCCGUGGAAAACAGAACUGUACGAAAUAUGAUGACUGUGCGAUUUCUCUUAUCUUGGAGUAAAUACAGGGUUUAUGCUUUCCCUCCUAUUAAGGUAUUUUGGAAAAUGAAACACAGACAAAGCAAGAUCUUGCUCAGAAUUAGUGUGAGGGCCAUCUAUUCUGGUACUUCAAAAAUACGGUUUAGAAAUGGGAUCUCUUACUGCCUCUGCCUGGGCAGCAUUCUCAUCUUCCAGAAUGAUACACUGGUGGGAUGAAGUCCUAGAGCUAGGUUUUUCUCAUAGGAGCACAGAAAAUAUGGCAGGUUUAUGGACAGUGUUCCAUUAAAAAUCCUCUAAAGCAGCUGUUUAUCUCUUUAAAAUAAAAUUUAAAAAAAAAAAAAAAACCAGAAAAAUUGUGAGUCCUAUCAGCUUUUUACUCUUAAUCCUAGUCUAGAGCCUAUGAUUCGUGAAUGGUCACAAUAUAGUUAAAGAGUCAGUCUUAGGUCACCUGAAUAAACUUUACAACAUCUAGCCUCAAGGAGAGGAGCAGUGUAAUCCAAAUGACAGAGCUCUGUAUCCGCUGGCUGCAAACCUGCCUGGCUCCUCAUUUGGGUCUGGUGCUCCAUGGAGAGCACCACACAUACCAAGCUGCCUUGGUAUUCCUGUUUGAAUUACCUAAAAGCUGAUUGCAAUAUACCUGGGUCACCUUUAGCGUUUACACAGCCAUGGAUAGAAUCUGAAAGCAUAUAAUGCAGUCCCUUCCGCCAGGUACUGCUCUUGUCUAUGCACUUCCCACAGAAAGUGAAGUGUGGGAGGAAUCACCUGUCCAUACUCCCUAGGGGAAGAAAUGCCAUCUCCAUGAUUUAUGGGCAUUAUGCAGUCCAAGUGUGAGUGCUCCAAGGACCAGGCACACAGGACAGGACAAAGCUUUCAACAUUCAAGAAAAAAGUGCAGUUACUCCCACAAGCAUGUUUAUAUUAGAGGAAGUGUCUUCCAUCCAACACAAUCAAUUAACUUUUGUUUUUUUCUGUCCACUGCUGCUAUCCAGGUGUGGCAAGAGUAGCCUCUCAGUUCUCAGCAUUCUGGGUUGUUUCAUCAAUAGAUGUUCUCAGGAUACCAGAAACCGAGAUGUCUCAUUUAGCACCUUAAAAUUUUGUAGACAACCAAG